GACGAACGCUGGCGGCGUGCUUAACACAUGCAAGUCGAACGAUGAACCCCGAGCUUGCUCCGGUGGAUUAGUGGCGAACGGGUGAGUAACACGUGAGUAACCUGCCCUUGACUCUGGGAUAACUGCGGGAAACUGUAGCUAAUACCGGAUACGACCCUCGGCGGCAUCGCCAGGGGGUGGAAAGAAUUUCGGUCAAGGAUGGACUCGCGGCCUAUCAGCUAGUUGGUGAGGUAACGGCUCACAAAGGCGACGACGGGUAGCCGGCCUGAGAGGGUGACCGGCCACACUGGGACUGAGACACGGCCCAGACUCCUACGGGAGGCAGCAGUGGGGAAUAUUGCACAAUGGGCGCAAGCCUGAUGCAGCAACGCCGCGUGAGGGAUGACGGCCUUCGGGUUGCAAACCUCUUUUAGUAGGGAAGAAGCGAAAGUGACGGUACCUGCAGAAAAAGCACCGGCUAACUACGUGCCAGCCGCCGCGGUAA
rnacentral:rRNA from 1 species